rnacentral:rRNA from 1 species
CGCGUAGGCGGCCUUAUAAGUCAGAUGUGAAAGUCCACGGCUCAACCGUGGAAGUGCAUUUGAAACUGUGGGGCUUGAGUAUCGGAGGGGAGUGUGGAAUUCCCGGUGUAGAGGUGAAAUUCGUAGAGAUCGGGAGGAACACCGGUGGCGAAGGCGACACUCUGGACGAAUACUGACGCUGAGGCGCGAAAGCGUGGGGAGCAAACA